UACGUAGGGCGCAAGCGUUGUCCGGAAUUAUUGGGCGUAAAGAGCUCGUAGGCGGUCUGUCGCGUCGGAUGUGAAAGCCCGGGGCUUAACCCCGGGUCUGCAUUCGAUACGGGCAGACUAGAGUGUGGUAGGGGAGAUCGGAAUUCCUGGUGUAGCGGUGAAAUGCGCAGAUAUCAGGAGGAACACCGGUGGCGAAGGCGGAUCUCUGGGCCUUACCUGACGCUCAGGUGCGAAAGCUAGGGGAGCGAACAGG
rnacentral:rRNA from 1 species